UUCCCAAAUGGUCCCCAGCUUCCCCGUUCACUGAAGGCCCUGCAGUCGGGAACAGUCAGGACUUUGCACCCAGUUGUUGUGGGUGUUUGGCCAACCCUUCCUCUUGUGUGAUUCAUGGACCUGCAGCAUUGCGUCACCUGUGAGCUUUUGGAAUUGAAGACUCUCAGGGCUCACCCGGGAGGACCUGCUGGGCCAGAAUCUGCAUUUUAACAAGAUGCCUGGGUGAUCUGCAUACACGUUCAGAUCUGAGAAGUGCUGAGAACAUGUGCCCAUGUCUGGAGAGUUUUGGUUGUUGCAGCUGGAGGAGGUGGUGCUACUGGCAUCUAAUGGGUAGAGGCCACGGAUGCUGCUAAACAUCCUACAAUGCCCCGGACAACUCCCACUAAGACAAAGUAAUGAUCCAGCCCCAAAUGUCAAUAGUGCUGAAAGUGAGAGACCCUGAUUCCAUCUUAGAGCUUAGAGAUCAUCCAAGCACAUUUGGCCAAAUUGUUUUUGCUACUGUCCCAUGAAAAAAAGACAGACUCAUGACUGAUGGCAACAUCGAUGGGAAUUUUGUUUACCUCUUCUUGGUGGACUUUGGGAUACCAUCACUUACCAUUUAUGCAAGUUGUACAUUGCACACCUCCAGGGGGCGCCACCCACAUAUUUAUGAAAAUGCCGCCCCAGGAAUUGCACAGUACACAGUCUGUGGCUUAUGGCUAUAAGCAGUUGCU
rnacentral:lncRNA from 1 species